GGAACUUGUGUGUGGCGGCGGAACACGAUGUCGACGGUCCGGAGGUUCGGGAUGGCGGCGGAACACGAUGUCGAUGGUCCGGAGGUUCGGGAUGGCAGCGGCGGCCGCCGCGUUCAUCGCCUUCGCGGCCUUCGCAUCGGCGUCGGCGUCCAGGCCGGCCUCCUUCGUCAAAUCCACCGUCAAAGCACGCGACGUCGUGAUCUUCUCCAAGUCAUACUGCCCGUAAGGCCCUCUCCCGUCUCCCCUCAGUCCUCGAUUCGAGUUAAUCCUCUCCCUGUUUGCGCUGGUGCACCACGACACUAGGAUCUGAUUGUGGUGCUGUAAAUUGUCUGGUUAGGGCUUCAAUUGUAUAAUGGUGAGAGUUUUUUUUUUGUUAGGAACAGAGAGAAUUGAUUUCCUUUGCAGGAUCCAAAACUGUAGAUCGGUCGACUUUUGAAGAUCCAGGUAUUCAUCCGUUUCUUGAUUCUUGAAACAGUAAAUGUUGGUACUAUAGUUAACACUGGGUGUUAAUGCGGUCAUCUGGCCUUACUUUGUGUUUGUGAUCCAAGUGUAUAAUAGGUCACACUUCUUGAGAAUUGAGACGCUAAGUGAUAAGAGAAGUGAGAGUUAACUUUUUA